rnacentral:rRNA from 1 species
GACGAACGCUGGCGGCGUGCCUAAUACAUGCAAGUAGAACGCUGAAGAGAGGAGCUUACUCUUCUUGGAUGAGUUGCGAACGGGUGAGUAACGCGUAGGUAACCUGCCUUGUAGCGGGGGAUAACUAUUGGAAACGAUAGCUAAUACCGCAUAACAAUGGAUGACACAUGUCAUUUAUUUGAAAGGGGCAAUUGCUCCACUACAAGAUGGACCUGCGUUGUAUUAGCUAGUAGGUGAGGUAAUGGCUCACCUAGGCGACGAUACAUAGCCGACCUGAGAGGGUGAUCGGCCACACUGGGACUGAGACACGGCCCAGACUCCUACGGGAGGCAGCAGUAGGGAAUCUUCGGCAAUGGGGGCAACCCUGACCGAGCAACGCCGCGUGAGUGAAGAAGGUUUUCGGAUCGUAAAGCUCUGUUGUAAGUCAAGAACGGGUGUGAGAGUGGAAAGUUCACACUGUGACGGUAGCUUACCAGAAAGGGACGGCUAACUACG